GGCUUGAACCUUCAUUUAUAUGUACGUGCUGAAACCCUCACAGGAAACCCAUUAACUGCAUCAAUCACCGCACUCAGGAGUGAUUCAUCGAAUUCACGCAUCCACUGCGUUCUCGCAUUCCGUGAAGGCUGAGACACGGAGCGAACGCUGGGGAGAGGGUUGAUCCCCAAGCUGGACAGAGGUCACCCCAGCUCCUAGCCCCAAAAGGGAAGGCUCAGCACAAGCGCACCGCACAUUCUAAGAUGAAUGAAACCCCAGCGGCUGCACCACCGAAGCUUUCCUUUGGCCUCGGGGCAGCGCAGCUGUGGACUUGGAAAAGGAGCCAGGUCGGCCAGACGCAGGGUGGAAUUUGACUCUGCCCUGUGGCCCCGGCUGCUGCAGGAACCAGGAGGGCAGCCCCUUGCCCCCUAAGCAGCGUGCCCAGGUUAAUGAUUGGCCCUGCCAGGGGCCGAUCAGGCUGUUUUUGUGUGUGGCCGUUUUGUUUUUUACGUAAAUCACCCUGAACACGUUCGCAUCAACCUCCCGAUGAUGCACCUUUGAUCAAUAGAAUUUAGACAAAAGUGGUUUCUGAGUCCAAAGAUCAGGGCUGGGUUGGCCUGCGGACUGGCUGCAGGGCAUAUAAAGCAGGGGCAAGGCACAGGCUGAUAGCAGAGCGCUGGCCACACAGCCUGCAGUCCUCGCUCCCAGCCCCCAAGGUGCCCGGCCCAGGAUGGAGCUCGGGAUGAACGCGCUGCACGACUUCGGGAUCCAGUCCACGCGCUACCUGCAGGUGAACUUCCAGGACUCGCAGGACUGGUUCAUCUUGGUGUCCGUGCUCGCCGACCUCAGGAACGCCUUCUACGUGCUCUUCCCCAUCUGGUUCCACCUGCAGGAGGCCGUGGGCAUCAGGCUGCUCUGGGUGGCUGUGAUUGGAGACUGGCUCAACCUCGUCUUCAAGUGGAUUCUCUUCGGACAGCGCCCGUACUGGUGGGUCCGGGACACGGACUACUACAGCAACACCUCCACACCGCUGAUUAAGCAGUUCCCGGUCACGUGCGAGACUGGGCCAGGGAGUCCUUCCGGCCACGCUAUGGGCACAGCAGGUGUAUACUACGUGAUGGUCACAUCGAUCCUCUCUAUCUUCCAGGGAAAGAAAAAGCCAACAUACAGAUUUCGGUGCCUGAGCGCCGUUCUGUGGCUGCUGUUCUGGGCUGUGCAGCUGAGCGUGUGUCUGUCACGGAUCUACCUCGCCGCUCACUUCCCGCACCAGGUUGUCGCUGGAGUCCUGUCAGGUAUCCCCGUCCCUCCUCACCCCUACUCAGGACGAAGCCCCAGCCGGCCAGCCACGCUCUGCAUGUCCUCCACACUGCUAGCAUUUCAGAAAUCUGAAAGUCAAGGGGGAAAGGCUGAGGCAGGAGGAUGGCAAGUUGAAGCUCCGCCUGUGCAACCCAGGGACUUGGGAAGACCCCGUCUCAAAAUAAAAAAAAAAUUAGAAGGGACUGGAGAUGUAGCUCGGUGGGAAGACCUGAAUUCAGUCCCCAGUGUGUGGCCGGAGGGAGAGAGAGAGCAAUUUGAGUUAUUCUCUAUAGCAGUGUCCAGUCUUACCCAAUUAAACGUAUUCCACAAAAGCUGCAGUGCGUCAGAAUAACUCCCCCAGUCAAGUCAGCUUGAACGCUCCAUGCUAUUUACAUUCUUUAUUUUUUACUGAUCUGCCAUUGGAAGUGGCCCUAACUUCAUUUUCAGGGAAUUACCAAACUCAACACUCUUGAUUUACAUAGACUCUUCUGCAGACCUAGUAAGUAUCUGCAGCGGCUCUGUUGGAGGUUCAAAGUUUUGCAUGUCUGCAUUCCCUUCGAUCUAAUUAAUAAGGAGGCCAAAAGAUUUUAAGUGAAGUGUAUAGAAGGAUUUCUCAGCUUCGUGGAAGGCUCUGGAAUAUCAGAUUUUAAGGAAUAUUUUCUCCCUGGAGUUCUUUUUUGUGUGUUCGUGCCGGUAAUUGAACUCAGGACCUUGCACUUGCCAGGCAGGAGCUUGUGCCACUGAGCUACAUCCCCGGCCCCUCUCCCUGGAGUUCUAAGAGCAGAACACAGAAGCCACCCCAGGAAAAGUGGAGAACGAGGGAGAGAGUGGCUUCCUGGCAACCACAGCAGUGACGUCACAGGUCGUGCUGGGUCCCCUAAUUUGGGAAGACUCUGGAAGCUGUGUCCCAUGACAAGCCUGGGGAUGUUUAGGUUAGAGAAGAGGACAGCUGUCUGAGAAUGCCGGGCAGAGGAGCUAGACUGGCGAGGCAGUGGCCUCCGUGCGGAGAGCGGAGCCCAGCAGCGGGCACUGGUGGGGACACUUGUCCACGCAGCGCUGGGUAGGACUAGCACUUAAGAUUCAGCGCUCACAGUGAGGGCAGCGAGCUCCCCAGACCCAAGGGUGUUCAAGUAGAGACAGGAGGACAACAGGAAGCUUAAAUGCAGGGGGAGGCAGGGGCGACCACUCGGCCUGGUGACAGUGGACGGCAGGAGCCCGCGGCUCCCGUGCACCCCUAGCGGGAGUCUAGGAUCUUCCCCUCCCUCACGCCGCCGUUCUUCCCUGUGCCCAGGCAUUGUCGUUGCGGAAACUUUCCACCACGUCCGGGGCAUCUACGACGCCAGCCUCAGGAAGUACGUCCUGGUCACCGGCUUCCUGUUUGGCUU